CUUCCUCCAGUGCCUUCUCUUAAGGCAGACACUGUUCUUUGUCCCUUUUCUAACUUGAAUCACCUCUCCCUCCUGUAACUCCUCUUGGUAAAAUGGCACUGUUCUCUGCCCCUUUACUGCCUUGAAUCAUGUCCUCCUGCACUUUGUCAACAGCUGAAUCAUUAACAGAGGUAGUGUGUUCCUCCAGUCCCCACCUCUCUUCCUCAGGUGAGUGACCCCAUCGAGCCACCACCCAAGGAAGCCCCUCCAAAAGCCACAGAGGAGGAAGGCACUGUUGUCAUUCCAGAUGUCGAACCGUUCUACAAGCAGCAGGAGAAGGAGGUGGCAGAGAAGAUCAAGGAGAGCCUGGCAGUGACAGAGUAUGUCGAGCCAUCCAGUAUAUUGGUGCUGAGUGGUGUGCCCAGCAGUGUGGUGCAGUACACAGUGUUUGAAAUGCAGCCGUCUGUCACUGUACUGGGUAAAGAGGGUGCACCCAUCAGUGACCUGGGCCACAAGAGUGAUCCCUGGCAGGUCACGGCUAGUUUGUCAGGAGCUCCGCCAGGUGCCAUCCUCAUUGGCACCACCACAGUUCCCUACAGGAACAGCACUGCCACCUUUACCGACCUGUCUGUCAGCAAGCCCGGGGAAGGGUACAACCUCUCUUUCACCAUCACCUUCCCCAGCUAUGCUCCAGUCCUCACUGCCACCCUGGUGGAGACCUUCAGCUCAACACAGAUGAGUGCAGCAAUGGUCCUGCAGCAGCCCAGCAUAGUGCAGGCCAGACAGCCCAUCGCCAUCACUGUUCAAUUUGUUGACGAGGAUUCUGGCUUGGUGCUGGAUGGCCAGGCCUUCAAGGGCCAGACAUUUGUGGGUGAACUGCUGGCAAAGACUGCUGAGGGACACUGAGGUUAUUCAGAGGCUGUAUGUACCAGAUGAGGCCGUGUCAAUGCUCACCUUUGAGAACGUCAUAUUUGAGGCAUCAGACGUGAGACAGCAACUCAUAGCCAAGGUUGCUGUUGUCCCUGCCGGCUGGUACAUGGAGUCCUCUUUGCCACGGCCCAUGUCGACAGUGGACGCCGUGGACGGUACACCCGCUCACCUGCCGUGCAUGGCCGCCAACAGCAGGCCCAGGGACGCUCCUGUCCUGGUGGUGUGGUACAGAGACGGCUCCCGCAGGCCCUUCUACAUGUGAGUACCUAGCGUGUGUGUGUGUGUGUGUGUGUGUGUGUGUGUGUGUGUGUGUGUGUGUGUGUGUGUGUGUGUGUGUGUGUGUGUGUGUUUGGUCUCUUGAGGAAUUGAGAUCGACAAUAUUCUGGACAAAAAAUAAGCAGCUCUCACUUUACGUGCAUAGAGAUUAGAGGGUUCGUGGGAACAGUUGCAUACAGUGUACCGUUCUCCUGAGUGUGUUGGUGGAGUGGGUUGCUGCCUGGCCAGCGGCUCCUUCCUGCCAUUAUCUCACUGGCACUCUCGGCCUGUGUUGCCAUGUUGUUCUCUGCCGCGUGUGUUCAUGGUCGUGUUUGGACGUGUGCAUGUCCGGGUUACUCUCUGAGCUGAGUCACGGUGUGUUGGCUUCUCUUACUUUGAGUUGGAACAUGUAAAGCAAAGCGUUUCUCUAGUACAUGUUGUGAGUUGUGUGUGCAUAAUUCUUUAUAAUUCCAGGAAAUUAUAUUUAUUACUUCACGUGAAA